AGCCCGAUCGUUCAACGAUUAAGGACGUCGCCCUGACAUGGCCGCGACUAAGGUUCGACUCCUUCUCGGGCUA
rnacentral:tRNA from 1 species